rnacentral:piRNA from 1 species
GGGGCUGUGCAAGUCCACGGAGUGC